AAACUAUAGUUAGUAUAGACACUAUAGUUAGUAUAGUUAAUACUUUUUAAUAGUAGAUCUAUAAUCUAUCAAUUCUAUCUAAAUCUAGACUUCACUUUCACAUCACAUUCACAUGAUUAUUAAUACAGACAGUGAAUGAAAUGAAUGCAGUGGUUAUACUGAUUAUACUUAAAGUGACGAUACUACUUAUAGAUCUACCAGUUGAUAAACAUCAUCAUCAUAGAUAAUAAUCUACAUCUAUAAUCAUAGUGCCCUUUAUUUAGUCAAUAUAGUCAAGUCAAGGUAGUGGAACGUAAACUCGAAGGUUUAAUGUUUAAUACAAUACGUUAUUAACAAGUAGAACCAUGGCAACCAGUUCUGAUGAUGUACCAGAAUGGCUCAAGGAUCAUACUUAUACUAUUUCUACUCUCUGGGCAUUCAUUCAAUAUUUAAUUUAUGUUUGGAAAUGCAAGAAAAAGGCAUGCAUUCCUGAAAAGUCAAUGAUUGGUUGCACCUCUUAAAGGUAAGAUAACUUUCUGUUAUGAGAAAAGAUGAGAUUCUUGGACUCCUGCAUAGCACCACCAGAAAGGAAAAUCCCAUCAUGUUGCAAAAUAAAAGUCUUGGACCAAUUUUAAUUUAAGAUAUAUAUAUUAUACUGUAAGCUGUAUACAUAUUUAUGUAUAUCCUGUCAUUCAGCCAACAGGUUUGGAUUUAGUAUUUCUUUAAAUCUGUUUGAUACUGUACUUCAAAACUAUUAAUCUGAGCCCCAUUAAAACAAGAGGGAGUGCAGUGGAUGAGUGGUAAGGGAAAUUUUACUUUUUUAAAAUUAAAAUAAGAAUCUAACAAAAGUAAACAUAUAAAAUAUGGUGCAUUCUCCUUAAAACUAAAACCUGGUGCAAAAAUUAAAAUAAAAUGUUGGCAAAAAAAAAAAGCAACAUCAAUUAAAUAUUCUUAAUUCCCUUUGCAAAACUUACUGAGAAGAACAUGCAUGUUGUUCCCUCAUAAGUUUCUUGACAGAGGAAAUCUUGUUUAUAUUAGAUUUGAAUUAAGCAAAUUAAGAAAAAAAUUAUAAUCAUUAUUUCAAAUGGUUGUAUCUAAACCUUAUGAAUUAUUUUUCAGUUAUAAGUAUAUUGAAAUGAAUGGAUAAUCAUGAAAUUGUUAAAUAAUUGCUGCUAUCAUUCCAUUGACUAAAGAACCAUAAUUUUUUUUUUUAAUUAAUUUCAAAAUUAAUUAAUUAAUUAAUUUUCAAGCAGAGUUCACAUAGAUCUUGAGUGAAAUUUUUCUUUUUUUGACUAAUGCUUCAAUUUUAUUGUAUCAUUAGUUUUUUAUUUUUAUUACCCAGAAUAUUUAAAAAAUGAGUACACUAUUUUCAUGUAAUAAUGUAACUUGGUAUUCACACAUCAAAAUACGCUAUAAUCUUUAGGCCAUAUAGAUUUGUAUAAAUAUAUAUUAACUUGCUUUAAUACAUUGUAAAUGUAUAUUGUUUGGAUAAGAAUUAAGUUUUUCUGUAGAAAAUUAUUGUUCAAGAUUUGUUGAUGCUCCUGCUUAAUAAAUUAUAUAUACAGGUCAUUAGUUUUAACACACAACUGACACAAGAAAAACUGGUCGCCCCCACUUCCAUUACAUAGAUGUAAUAAAACGUGACCUCAAAUCAGUGAACAUCAAUACUGACAAUUGGGAAGACAUAGCUUUAGACCGCAACAGAUGGAGAGACAGUGACCAAGAAAGCUAUGGACAGUGAAAGUACAUAGGUCUCAGCUCAGGAAGAAAAACGUACUAUCCGAAAAACGACCAGCUCCUCUACCACCGAAGCAAAAACCACCUUAACCUGUGCUAUCUGUGGAUGGGAGUGUCUCUCCGAAAUAAGGCUCCACAGCCACAUGAGGAAGUGUGCUCUGAGAUGAAACCUUAGUCUUUCUACGACUGAAGGAGACCAAUGAUGAUGAUACAGGUCAUUAGUUUUAACACGUCUGAUAAUAAAUGACAGUACAAGUUAUUGAAUGAAAAUUUGUCAUUAUUUCAGGUGCUUUAGGCCUACAUCAAUGUGAGGUACCAGUACUUUGAUUGUGUCAUAUAACAAUUUAAAGCAACAUUUUGAAAUGAAUAGUGUGUAGAAUUGACAGUAAAUACAUUUAAGUGAUGGGCUGUGAUCUGCAUGAAUUGAGAGCUGAUCAUGUAUAGAAUUUGUGUUUUUGAUCUUUACUUCAAGUAAAUGUUAAUGAACAAUUAAUUUUUAAUGAAUAA